GUUUAAUAUAAUUUUUGGCCCAACUAUCUCUUUAAUUGUAUACAAUUGUCAAGCCCAUCUCAUCGGUAUCUGUGUUAUUCCCUGACCAUGCCGAAAAGCUAUUUGAAACUUGGGCACUGCAUUUUACAGACAGAAUCCUGCAACUUCCCAGCCAAGACCCAGGAGCAUCAACAAAUCACCUACAGAACCCCAUGAUGAUAUUCCAACUCCUGUCUACAAAAGUGGGAAGAAAAUCUUAAGUUUAUGUUGGGACCAACAUGGUUGCAUUCUUCUCAGAGGCUGAGGUGACAAAACCAUUCCCAUUUGUCCUUGGAUUGGAAGAUGACGAUCUCUGCCAUCAAGCCUUCGUUGUUUUUGACAGACAGUCACUCCAGCAAUACACCCUCCUUGGUGAUGUUGACAUGUUUUAAACUUUUUUUAAUCUUUUGGACAUUAAUUUUACCAAGCAGUGCACAUCAGUGUGGGUGUUUUUGAAGACUGUUGUUUACAAACUCCCAAGAACGGAAUCCCUUUCUAUAAGAAGUCUGUGUAGUUAUUUGUCAUGCUAAGGUGAUUUUUCAUGUUGAUCAUAUAUUGACUGUUUGUGCAACUUAGUGUUGAUCUUAUGUGUUACAUUAACCAUUUCUUAUUACACGGUUCUCUAAAAUGCUAGUUUCUGAUUGGCCAGUCGUGACAUUCUACUACUGCUCAAAACUAAAAACUCCAAUGCUGCAAAUCAUUUUGACAGGUACAGUUUUAUAUUACACAAAAAUUAAAUAUCAAUGUCUAUUAAUAACAUAUCCGACAUUAAAUUUACAAAUGAUUAAACCAAUGUGUUUGUGACAUUUGUCCUGAAGAAACUGUUGGGGCUUUUUUCUGUGAUGACAUGCUGCCAAUACAUUAUCCCUUACUUGUACAACUUUUUACUUGAUCUAAUUGUAAUGUUAACCGGGUAUCUGUCAUUUUAGAUUGUGAGAUAUAAUACUAAUAUAUUUUUUAUUAGAAAGUUGAUUGUUUGUGUAGGGCUAUGUACUCUUUUAUUGUUCAUGUGCAAUAAAUAUGCUUUUUCAAUUAAAUCUAUGCUUUGUUAUUUAUAGACACCACAAUGAAAGGUAUGAAAGCAAUUUAAACCACAAAAUUUCAGCUUUAA